GCAUCGAUGAAGAACGCAGCGAAAUGCG
rnacentral:ncRNA from 3 species